GAUGAACGCUGGCGGCGUGCUUAACACAUGCAAGUCGAACGAAGCACUUUUACAGAUUUCUUCGGAAUGAAGUUUUUGUGACUGAGUGGCGGACGGGUGAGUAACGCGUGGGUAACCUGCCUCACACAGGGGGAUAACAGUUGGAAACGGCUGCUAAUACCGCAUAAGCGCACAGUACCGCAUGGUACAGUGUGAAAAACUCCGGUGGUGUGAGAUGGACCCGCGUCUGAUUAGCUAGUUGGCAGGGCAACGGCCUACCAAGGCGACGAUCAGUAGCCGACCUGAGAGGGUGACCGGCCACAUUGGGACUGAGACACGGCCCAA
rnacentral:rRNA from 1 species